rnacentral:rRNA from 1 species
CCUACGGGGGGCAGCAGUGAGGAAUAUUGGUCAAUGGGCGCGAGCCUGAACCAGCCAAGUCGCGUGAGGGACGAAGGUCCUAUGGAUUGUAAACCUCUUUUGUCGGGGAGCAAAAGACGCCACGCGUGGCGUUCCGAGAGUACCCGAAGAAAAAGCAUCGGCUAACUCCGUGCCAGCAGCCGCGGUAAUACGGAGGAUGCGAGCGUUAUCCGGAUUUAUUUGGUUUAAAGGGUGCGUAGGCGGAAGAUCAAGUCAGCGGUAAAAGUGAGAGGCUCAACCUCUUCGAGCCGUUGAAACUGGUUUUCGUGAGAGAGUGAGAAGUAUGCGGAAU